GACGUAGGAUGCGAGCGUUGUCCGGAUUUAUUGGGCGUAAAGAGUUCGUAGGUGGUUCGUUAAGUCUGGUGUAAAAGACUGGGGCUCAACCCUGGGAUCGCACUGGAUACUGGCGGACUGGAGUGUGGUAGAGGCAAGCGGAAUUCCCAGUGUAGCGGUGAAAUGCGUAGAUAUUGGGAAGAGCACCGGUGGCGCAAGCGGCUUGCUGGGCCAUAACUGACACUGAGGAACGAAAGCUAGGGGAGCGAAUGGG
rnacentral:rRNA from 1 species